CUUGCUCCUCUGUUUCUGUGUGAUCUCUGCACAUGAGUAGAAGCAUCCUGAAGCCCUCACCAGAUGCCCAGUGAUCUAGCCAGCAGAAUCGAUUUGUUACUUGAUCCCCAUGUGUAUAUGCAAACAUUUGUCUGUAUUUAUUGUCAUCAUCAUACUUUGGGCACUGGCCAUGCUACCCCUGUGAGGAAAGAAGGGAAAGGAAAGGAAAAAUAAGAAAAUAAGAAAACAUCCAUACAAGGUCUCACUCUGUCAACAGGCUGGAAUGACAGACUGAUAGGCAGACUCACAUAGCCUUCUUGCCUUUCCCUGAGGAGUUGACUCCAAUUGUCCUACGCAUUCCUUCUCUAUGGUAUAGAAGCCCUGGGUCUCAGCGGUAAUGGCCUGGGAUUCACCAUCUCCUCUUGUGGCCACCUGAGACAUGGCUUCUGUUCCUAAGUCCCUACUAAAUGUUUCUUUCAGAGAAAA
rnacentral:lncRNA from 1 species